rnacentral:rRNA from 1 species
CGCGUGGGUAACCUGCCUUAUACUGGGGGAUAACAGCCAGAAAUGGCUGCUAAUACCGCAUAAGCGCACAGAACCGCAUGGUUCCGUGUGAAAAACUCCGGUGGUAUAAGAUGGACCCGCGUUGGAUUAGCUAGUUGGCAGGGCAGCGGCCUACCAAGGCGACGAUCCAUAACCGGCCUGAGAGGGUGAACGGCCACAUUGGGACUGAGACACGGCCCAGACUCCUACGGGAGGCAGCAGUGGGGAAUAUUGCACAAUGGGGGAAACCCUGAUGCAGCGACGCCGCGUGAAGGAAGAAGUAUCUCGGUAUGUAAACUUCUAUCAGCAGGGAAGAUAAUGACGGUACCUGACUAAGAAGCCCCGGCUAACUACGUGCCAGCAGCCGCGGUAAUACGUAGGGGGCAAGCGUUAUCCGGAUUUACUGGGUGUAAAGGGAGCGUAGACGGCGCAUCAAGUCUGAUGUGAAAGGCAGGGGCUUAACCCCUGGACUGCAUUGGAAACUGCUGUGCUUGAGUGCCGGAGGGGUAAGCGGAAUUCCUAGUGUAGCGGUGAAAUGCGUAGAUAUUAGGAGGAACA